CGCGCGGGGGCCGCGAUCGGCCGCUAUCGGAUCGGCCGCGGGCUCCGAGCGCCCGGACCCCGAGCCUGCCGGCAGAGCUCCUGCUGGCCGCACCGAGCGCCCGCGCUCGCCGCCUUAGGUUCGGGGCUCUCCGGGGACGGGGCAACGGGCGCCGCCGGCUCCCCGAGUAUUUCGUUUCCAAGAACAGCUGUUGGGGAUGGAAGCACGAGCUGGUGUUCUAUCACUGAGCUCCGAUACAGCUCCUGUGGAUCCUGUGUAGCUUGGACAGUUUUCCUUCACAUAUUGGUCCUUAAAAAAAAUGUGCCUCUUAAUUAAAAUUUCUUUGCUAACUUAGUUUUCUUCUUUCUUUGUUCAUUACGUUUUAUAAGCCUUGAUUUCUACAGCACAGACUGUUUCCCAUUUAUGGGCAAAAUGCUUUACAUAUUUGGGUCCACUACUAGUAUUAAAGCUGUUGGAUAAUGCGGAGAUAAUAAUAAAAAAUUAGAGAAUUUUCAUUUGAAA